AGCUUGCUCUUAUGAAGUUAGCGGCGGACGGGUGAGUAACACGUGGGUAACCUACCCAUAAGACUGGGAUAACUCCGGGAAACCGGGGCUAAUACCGGAUAAUAUUUUGAACUGCAUAGUUCGAAAUUGAAAGGCGGCUUCGGCUGUCACUUAUGGAUGGACCCGCGUCGCAUUAGCUAGUUGGUGAGGUAACGGCUCACCAAGGCGACGAUGCGUAGCCGACCUGAGAGGGUGAUCGGCCACACUGGGACUGAGACACGGCCCAGACUCCUACGGGAGGCAGCAGUAGGGAAUCUUCCGCAAUGGACGAAAGUCUGACGGAGCAACGCCGCGUGAGUGAUGAAGGCUUUCGGGUCGUAAAACUCUGUUGUUAGGGAAGAACAAGUGCUAGUUGAAUAAGCUGGCACCUUGACGGUACCUAACCAGAAAGCCACGGCUAACUACGUGCCAGCAGCCGCGGUAAUACGUAGGUGGCAAGCGUUAUCCGGAAUUAUUGGGCGUAAAGCGCGCGCAGGUGGUUUCUUAAGUCUGAUGUGAAAGCCCACGGCUCAACCGUGGAGGGUCAUUGGAAACUGGGAGACUUGAGUGCAGAAGAGGAAAGUGGAAUUCCAUGUGUAGCGGUGAAAUGCGUAGAGAUAUGGAGGA
rnacentral:rRNA from 1 species